AGCGAACGCUGGCGGCAGGCCUAACACAUGCAAGUCGAACGGACCCUUCGGGGUUAGUGGCGGACGGGUGAGUAACACGUGGGAACGUGCCUUUAGGUUCGGAAUAGCUCCUGGAAACGGGUGGUAAUGCCGAAUGUGCCCUUCGGGGGAAAGAUUUAUCGCCUUUAGAGCGGCCCGCGUCUGAUUAGCUAGUUGGUGAGGUAAUGGCUCACCAAGGCGACGAUCAGUAGCUGGUCUGAGAGGAUGACCAGCCACAUUGGGACUGAGACACGGCCCAAACUCCUACGGGAGGCAGCAGUGGGGAAUCUUGCGCAAUGGGCGAAAGCCUGACGCAGCCAUGCCGCGUGAAUGAUGAAGGUCUUAGGAUUGUAAAAUUCUUUCACCGGGGACGAUAAUGACGGUACCCGGAGAAGAAGCCCCGGCUAACUUCGUGCCAGCAGCCGCGGUAAUACGAAGGGGGCUAGCGUUGCUCGGAAUUACUGGGCGUAAAGGGCGCGUAGGCGGACAUUUAAGUCAGGGGUGAAAUCCCAGAGCUCAACUCUGGAACUGCCUUUGAUACUGGGUGUCUUGAGUGUGAGAGAGGUAUGUGGAACUCCGAGUGUAGAGGUGAAAUUCGUAGAUAUUCGGAAGAACACCAGUGGCGAAGGCGACAUACUGGCUCAUUACUGACGCUGAGGCGCGAAAGCGUGGGGA
rnacentral:rRNA from 1 species